CGUCUCCAAAUAUCCUCUGGCCCCCCAAUUUAGCCUCCACGCUGUGUCAAGCACAUGUAGACAUGAGGAGAUAAUAAGGCUCUUCCCCCAUGGAACUCAUACUUCAGCUGGGAAAACAGAGAGUUGACAGGAAGGUCAGCAAAGCUGCUGAUAAGCGGAGAUUAAAGAGGGCUUGGCUCGUGGCAAGGGGGCAGUGGUCUACUUGCUGGCAACAUGCUGCGCUUGCUGGUGUUCACCACGCUGGUCCUUCACGAACAUAGUGCCCAGGACUUUCCAGAAACCAACGCCCGGGUAGUUGGAGGGACUGAGGCCCGGAGGCAUUCUUGGCCCUCUCAGCAAACAUCACCAAAUGACGGAACACUCUUUUCUGCUGGUCCCAGGGGCAUCUACACGCCCCUUCUCACCACUACUCCAGGUAGCCUCAACAGCAAAAGGUCAAAUGAAAACAAUUCGCCAUCUCUAGCCCAGAAAGUUGGAGAAUGUUUUGAGAUUUCCCUCCAGUACCAGUCUGGAGGUUCCUGGUUUCACAUCUGUGGAGGGACCCUCAUCAGACGGAACUGGGUGAUGACAGCUGCUCACUGUGUGGACAAACAAAUGAGCUUCCGUGUGGUGGUUGGAGACCACAACCUGAGCCAGAACGAUGGCACCGAGCAGUACGUGAGAGUGCAGAGGAUCGAGGUGCAUCCCCACUGGAACAGCAAUAAUGUGGCUGCAGGCUAUGACAUCGCCCUGCUGCGCCUGGCCCAGAACGUUACCCUCAACAGCUAUGUCCAGCUGGGUGUUCUGCCAAAGGAGGGAACCAUCCUGACUAACAAGAGCCCCUGCUACAUCACAGGUUGGGGCAGGACCAUGACCAAUGGGCAGCUGGCCCAGACCCUGCAGCAGGCUUACCUGCCCACCGUGGACUACGCCACCUGCUCCAGCUCCUCUUACUGGGGCUCCACCGUGAAGAAUACCAUGGUGUGCGCUGGAGGAGACGGAGUUCACUCUGGAUGCCAGGGUGAUUCUGGGGGUCCCCUUCAUUGCUUGGUGAAUGGCCAGUACACUGUCCACGGUGUGACCAGCUUCGUGUCCAGCCUGGGCUGUAAUGUCUCCAGGAAGCCCACAGUCUUCACUCGGGUCUCUGCUUACAUCUCUUGGAUAAAUAACUGUACUUUCGCUCGAUAACGUUGCCGUCCUGAGUUCCACUUCACAUACCCACUAAGAAUGCUUCACUGUACUGUUUACUGCUUAGGGUCACUGCCAACAACUGAACAUUUUCUUGGGUCCAACGGCCUUCCCAAGAUGAUUCUUAGAUCCACAGCAGGACUUGAGGCCAUCCAGGAAAAACCAUUCUAACAGACUACUGAGCCAGAUGCAGAAAUGCAAAUAAAAUUGAAUAUAUAUAUUA